rnacentral:rRNA from 1 species
CAAGUCGAACGGCAGCGCGGGGCAACCUGGCGGCGAGUGGCGAACGGGUGAGUAAUAUAUCGGAACGUACCCAGGAGUGGGGGAUAACGUAGCGAAAGUUACGCUAAUACCGCAUACGAUCCAAGGAUGAAAGUGGGGGACCUUCGGGCCUCAUGCUCCUGGAGCGGCCGAUAUCUGAUUAGCUAGUUGGUGAGGUAAAGGCUCACCAAGGCGACGAUCAGUAGCUGGUCUGAGAGGACGACCAGCCACACUGGGACUGAGACACGGCCCAGACUCCUACGGGAGGCAGCAGUGGGGAAUUUUGGACAAUGGGCGCAAGCCUGAUCCAGCAAUGCCGCGUGAGUGAAGAAGGCCUUCGGGUUGUAAAGCUCUUUUGUCAGGGAAGAAACGGCUGAGGUUAAUACCUUCGGCUAAUGACGGUACCUGAAGAAUAAGCACCGGCUAACUACGUGCCAGCAGCCGCGGUAAUACGUAGGGUGCAAGCGUUAAUCGGAAUUACUGGGCGUAAAGCGUGCGCAGGCGGUUUUGUAAGUCUGACGUGAAAUCCCUGGGCUCACCUGGGAAUUGCGUUGGAAACUGCAGGCUGGA